CCGGCUGCCGCGCGCCCCAUAUAGAGCCCGCGCCCCGCCCCGCGCACGGCCCCGCCCCGCAUGGCGAGGCGCUUCCACAUUGAUUUAUUCUUUUUUUUUUUCCCUUCCCACCCCCAGAGCUCCUUUUCGCUUUACUCUUUUCUUCCUCUCCCUGCUUUCUUUUUUUCCCCUCCUCUCUUUUAUUUUUAAAUAACUAUUUUCUUUCUUUCUCUUUUAAAAAUUGCUUUCCCGCUCUAUGUUUAAACCUCUUUCUCUUCGGUUGUUCCCUACACCCCUCCCUAGGCGCCGUCCCGUUUUGCAGAUUUGGGUCUGUAAAGGCCACAGGCUUCCGAGCAGAGAAGAAAUGGAGAAAGGUGGGGCCGUUUAUUUAAAAAACAGAAACAAACCAACAACAACCCGAAGUGACCAUAAAUUUGAGCACGCCGUUUUCCUGCCGCCCGCCGUUCCCCCUGCCGACCCGCCGCACCGCGCAGCUCGGCUGCUCCCCGUGGUGCUGCCCCCUACCGGCCGCUCGCGUCACGACAGUUUGGGCGCGGAGCUCCUAACAGACACCCUCGCUUCUUUGUAUGAGCCUGUGCCUGGCUCCCACAGCACCGCCUGCAGCGCAGUGCAACAUCCCCUCCGCAGCCUUGUGCCUUAGAAACUACCCCAAAUAGUUUCUUGCUGCAUCAUGCUGUGCUGCGUGCUUUCUGGUGGUGACCCUGACCUUUGCUGGGAUGGUAGUUAAAACAUUUAUGUGACAGAAGACGUUUUCUGUGUAUGACUUCAAAAACAAGAGGAAAGCAUCUGACAUCAAACAAUAUCAUCAGUGCUGCUGACAUCAGGCACUGAGUUACACCGUCUGGGCUGCAGAGAUGCGAUUAAUCUUGUUUGCUGUUAACCAGGUGAACGCAGUCAGGAGCACAACAGUGAGCAAGCUGAAGAUUAGGGAGGAAUAUGAAGGAAAAUUUGGAAGGUUUGAGUUUUUGAAAACAAAUAUUUCAUCUGGACUGGAGAGCAUCUGAGUGAGGACCUGAAGGAAGGAUUCCUGCCCAGCAUAAGUGGUGCCACAUUUAUCCAGUAGCAUCCUGACCUAUUCCCAUAGAGAAGGCAAUGAGACAAAUCAGUGGAAGAUGUAUAGAGGGAUAUUUGCCAGCUUCCAACAACCCUCCUGAUUGGUUCAGGAGCACAGUGAAGAGGUGAGAGCAUAGCAAAGAGGUGAGGCUGUGGCUGGGCCUGGACAGGGAGUGCAGAGUGCCUCAGCCUGGGAAAGAGUCACAGGUGAGUAGCUUGGCACAUUAGUCACUCACUUAAUGCUAAGCAUUGCAAAACAGUGCUUUAAUCCUGCAGCUGAAGUGCAGUAGUUGGAAGCAGGUGCAUUGUUCUCCUGGAACACUUUUCUCAUCAGUUAUUUGUUCAGCACUCAGACAGGUCUUCAGAAGAAAGCGGCUCAGAGCUGACUCCAGGUGAGUCAUCCUGUGUGGAAAUUAAGGAUCCAAACUUUUAAAUUGUGUCAAGUCAUUUCUUGCAUUUAAAGGUAAAUUAAGCAGGUAAAGCUCCCCAGAAAUCAGUGAAGCAGUGCUCUGCUGUUGCUCCAGCAUUAGACCUCCUCAGUUCAUCACUGCCAUAGCAGUCACAUGUGACGGGUAACUGUGCACUAAGCCACACAAACUCUGUGUUGUUUAUGGUGUUGGCAAACAGCAACACAGGACUGCACACUUCAAUAGGUUGUGCUCAGAAGCCUAAAAGGCUGCACGUAAUUUGACUGUGUUUUGACAAGCUGUAUUAACAUUGGUGGUGCUUGGCUCAGGUAGGAGCUCCCCAAAGACUGAAUGCAGUGUCACUGACAAAUGAGAGCAAGAAACCUGAAUUAAGGUUAAGCUUAGGACCCCCCACUUGCACAGAAGGGGUCUAAAGGUUUCCCAUGACUAUCUAUGGAUGCUUUUUUUGAUCUCUUGGUGCAAACUGGCUGAUCAGCGUCCCCUUCCUGGCUUAGCUGUGUUAGCUGUGAUUUCACCUCAUCCUUUGACCUUUCCCACUACCAGAAUCUUUUAAAAGUGAAAUUGUGUAGCAGCUUCUUAAUCCAUACUUAGUAAUAGGCUUCUUCUCUACAUUCUGUGGUAUGUGUUCCUCUCAGGUGUGGUGUUCUACAGUUCAGGUUCUGAAAUAGUAAGCUUAUUGUAUAGUUAACAUAAAACUGGUGCUUAGUUGCUGCAGAUUUCUUAUUUUUUAAUUAUAAAUCAAGUUGUUUAUUUAAUCUCUUUGCUUCAAGUAAGUUUGGCUUUUUGGUAGCUCUCCAACCCAAACUGUUAUUUGAAGACUGAGACAACAUUCCUGGCAAGACUGGAACUUAGAAAGAAGUAAGGGGCCAAGAUGGCUCAACUCUUUGGGAUAUAUUCAAACACAGCAGGUGAAUUACAAGAAGAAAUUAACAAAAACUACACUGAGGAAAUCACUCCCUGCCAUGUUCUAUACCAACAUCCAAUGCACAACUAAUACCAACUGUAUCAACUGUCAUCCAUUUCCUUUGGGUACUGAAUGAAUAAGUACAAUGUCCUCCGUUUAUUAUGGAAUUAUUAUAGAAUUAUUAUUCUCUUGCUGUAUAAAUCAUACAGCACAUUUAGUGCAGACAAGUAGAGAUGCUGUAAUCUGCAUACAGUAAGCAGCUAUGAGAGAUUAAUUUCACAUGUGUGGACAAGCCUCUGAGGAGUGCAGUGCACUCACUGCAGGAGUAAAAGUAGCUGUUAGUUCUAACAAGGGAUUCAGUUUAAAACAAUCAUGCAUGUCUAGAAGCCAAGCAAGGAGAGCAAUUGUGCAGAUUACUUACUAAUUACUAACAAAUGUGCAAGCACUUAAAGUUAUAAAAGAAAGCAUAGCCAUUGGAAGCUGCCAAGACUUUCAGCAUCAUUCAUUUAAGGGCCAAUUCUGACAUACCCAGUUCAAACAACUGCUGUUUUGUCAUUCUUUCCAUCACUCACUCAAAAGCAGCUCUGGGUUUAUACAAGGCACUGUGUUUACUGUGAUAGGGAAGAUCAGGCAACAAAACAUCACAGAAGAUGCUUGAGUUUGAAACCUCACAUUUCUGCAGCUACUCCAAAGUUGGAGCAAUGCUGGUGCUCAGUGGAGAAGACCCUCAGCAUCGGUGCUGGCUGUUCAUUGCCUGGCUGAUGUCCAUCUUUGCUGGACUGAAUUUGUGGAAUUAUGUGCCUUACGAUUAACUUCAGCUGCAUGGGCCAUGUGAGCAGUGUAAAUGAGAGUAUUACCUUGAUGCACACACAAAAAAUGACAUCUCUACUCUUGGAACUGAAAGAGAAAGUCAGAUUGUGUGUGCAUGUGAGGGGAGUAGCAAAUGGGACAAGGAUGAAUGCCAUCUCCUUGGUUCAUAAUGUGGUGCGUGCUUGGAGAAACCAGUGAGGGACAUCUGCAAUGCACUUUCCUGAGCAGGGAAAAGAGAGGUGCUUUUGUCUGCUGGCUUAACUGUGUGCACAGAAUGUAUCUGUAUUGUAUCUUAUCUAUUUCAGAGAGCAGAUAGAAACAGAGAAUAAUAUAUCUUGGUAGCCUGUUUCUUCUGAGCUGUAGCUGCUGCAUUUCUGGAAGUAUUGCACAGCUGUACUGUAUCCAUCAUACAGCCUUACUGCUUUGAAUAAGUUCCUACUGAAUCUCCUGUCUGCCUCAUAUCAUUUUAUUUGCAUUUAUUAAAACUAGGGAAUGUGGAACUGAAAUAAAAAGGUUGUUUUGUUAGAGCCCAUAACAACUAAGCUACCUUUGUUUUCUUUGUGCAUUUGCAUUACUAGCCCCAGCUCUGUCUUCUGAUAGGCCUUUUUUUAUAACAGUAGUGACUGGGAAAUCCACCAGCUUAUUUCACUAAAUCCCCAUUUUUUUCUUCCUUGUGGACACAGCACUAUUUUGGAAACUGGAAAAAAAAAAAAAAAAACAGAACAUGGAGAUCUAACAGCAGACCUCUAUUUCCCUGUGCAUCCACAAUAUCCUGCUGUACCUUGCAGAAUCUGAUGACAGACUCGCGCGGCCAGAGAUCAGAACUUGUCUGCUCAACCCCUAAAUCACAGUCUAUGGCCCAUCAGCAGAAAAAUAUGUUGGACUUUGUUCAAGUUCUACUAUUGCUUCUGGCUUUAACCUCUCUCUAUAUUUAUAUUUGAACAUGUUGGACUACUCAAGUGCUAAUCAUCAGUUCUCCCAUUUUGUGGACUGUGUCAUUUCUGUUUGUGUUUCAGUAUCAUUUAUUUAUGGAAAAGUGCUAUAUCACAUUGAUGUGGCAGAACUGUAAGAAUCAGAUCUAUUAACACUGUUAACAGGUUGCAAGCUGUUAGGUUGCCUGGUGUAGUCCUUGUCCUGUUUAUUUUGUAUGUAUCGUAUUUCUUGGGAUGUAUACAAUUUACCUUCAUAGGGGACAGUGAUUAACUUUUGCUUAAUAGCUAGAAUCAUAAUUCUGGGUUGCUGCUGAAGAAAAGUGAUCAAGUUGUAUGGUCUGAACACUGCAGAAGAACACCUGUGUGAGAUGGAGACAAUGCAUGUGCAGAGCAUGUGAUGAGGUUUUUAGAUCGGUUUAGUUAGGACUGCAUGAUGUUUAAGUCAGACAUACGGAUACUUAAUUCUGCAUUGUCUUUUGCAUGACCAAGCUCUUAUAUCUUAGUGGAGUAGCAGUGAUCCUCUGCCCCUUGUCUCCCAUUUUCUUGCCAUUAAUUAACAGUUCACAUCAUCAGGGACG